GCCACAGGGCUCGGUCCCGCUGGGCUGCUGCUGCUGGCGAUUGUGUAGCGGGGCCUCUGACCAGGGGCAGCUCUUCCCUGCGGCCUCGGUCUCACAGAAUCACAAAUGGGUCGGGUUGGAAGGGACCGCGGUGUGUCAGCAGGUCCGACCUUCCUGCUGAAGCGGGGUCAUUGUAGAGCACAAGGUACAGGAUUGCAUCCAGGUGCUUCUGGAAUAUCUCCAGUGAGGGAGAUUCUAGUCUCUCUGGCCAACCUGUUUCAGUGUGUGAUCACCACACAGUAAAGGAGGUCUUCCUCAUGUUCGGGUGGAACUUCCUGUGCAUCAGAUUCUGCCUGUUGCCCCUUGUCCUAUUGUUUGUUACCACCAAAAAUGCCUGGCUUCAUCCUCUGACACCCUCCCUCCCAAUACUGAUGGGCAUUAAUGAGGUCCCAUCUCAGUCAUCUCUUCUUGAGGCUGAACAGGCCCAGCUCCCCCAGCCUUUCCUCAUAAGAGAGAUGCUCCAGUUCCCCAGUUGUCCUUGUUUCCCUGGGCGCUGGGGGAGUGGCCAGCUGUGACCCACUGGCCUUGUCUCUGGCCUCACUCUCCUGUCGCCUCAGUAGCCAGUGCCUGCUGUCAGCAAGGCACACCGUUAUUGUGAAGGUUCCUUAAAUCUAUUCCAGCCUGUCCUACACUUGCAUCAAGAUCCACCAGCUGACAGGAGAACAGGUUACAUCCCUAUUCCUACAUUUUGCACAGCCUGAGAAAGAAGACGCUGAUGAAGAGGAGGAGUUCCAUGAAGGAGGAGGAUGGCUCAUGGAACCCAGGUCCAACCAACCGUUUGGUGGAACAGAACCUUGGGUGAGGGGAUAUAUGGGUCUGUAUUACCCCAUCAACUUUUACCCCAAAAAGGCUUGGUUCUGAGGAAAUACAGGCUGCUGGGUGAAGAUACGAGUUGGACUGACUUCUCUACUGAGAUUUAUAAACCUCUCUUAGGAAGCAUUUAUAUGAAACACUUCAUAAUCCACCAGUUCCUCCAUUCACUAGAAUCAGAAAUAGCCAAAAGGCAGCCAAAGACAUUCCACACAUCUGCCACCAACAGGUGUAUGUGCAAUCUCCACAACAAAGAUCCGAGUGUUCUUAUUUGUAUUCCACAGUCCUAAAUAAAAGAUACUUGAAGCUGCUACAGAGCUAAGCAACGGUAUCUGAAAAAGAUGAAAUGUGGAAUUCCAGAAGAAAUUACCUACAGGUAAUUAGCCAAGUCAGAGUGGGAUGAGACCAGAUGAAAUUAAACGAAGUUCAAGACAUUUUUAUUUUUCUAAGGAUCAGUAGCUCACUGCUGUGUUAAAAAAUUCUUCAGCUAAUUAAGCAUGACUUCCUUUUAGAUAGUAUUCCCCCUUUAACAGUAAAAUUUCUGCUACACUUGGAAGGAGCUGUGUGAUCCCACAGCUCUGAAGGGGAGACAUGUACAGUGUCUGCACUGUGCCAGUGCACCAGAGAGGCAGAUCUAGAAGAGUAGCUAGCUUUGAUACUCAUGCCAUGAGGACCAAAGGAUGUGUUAUUCACAGCAGACUGGUAUCCUGCCAAAGAGGGGGCUAGGAAGGUGCAAUUCUGAAAUUACUACAUCCCAUUUAGGAAUUAUGGUCCAAAGAGCAAAGUGCAAGCUCGGAUUCAAUUCCCAGGCCUAUGGCAUGCUUCUUGUAUGAACUUGGGCAAAUUGCUGUAAAUCCAAGCCAUCAAAUCUCAAGUAAGAUGUGCCUAAAUGCCUGUGAAAGUCUGAAUUUUAAUCAUAUUGUGCCUCAAUUCCCCAUCGCCUGAAUCAGUAGCAAUAUUAUUUUCCUAUCUUGAGAUGAACUGUGAAUGGCUUAGAUACUGGGAAAGCAGGAGAGGUAGGGGUACCAGAGGUAAGAAAUUACCUCUGUGAAAUAUAAAUUAAAUAUAAAUAGAAAUUACCUCUGUGAAAUAGUGAAACUAUUUUCUGAAGGCUUCUUGAGACCAAGCUGCUGUAUGCAAAUCCCUAAGAACUGAACUAAUUUUUGAGCCUUUUCCUCACUACUGCUCAACUGCAUUUCCUUCACAGGAUGCACUGUGAAGAAAAGAAAUGUAGUAUGUUGAGACAUAUUCCAUUAAGUAAAUUUGAUUAAAAUUGACCAGUGUUUCAAAAUUUAUUAGAGGAGCUAAUACAGAUAGGCUGUACAUAAUGUUAAAUCUUGUUCCUUUAGAGAAAAGAAAAAACACUGUUUUCAUCAGUGGAAUAGGUAGUCAAGCAAAUAGAUGCAAAGUACAGCUUGAAGUUUAUGUUUGCUGGUUAAUCUCAGCCCAGUGGGGUUAAAUGGGGCUGGCAGCAAUCCCUUUGAAAGGUAGCUGGAACAGAACUGGUUUGUAAUCAGGUAAUUUAUAUGUUAAGACAUGUCUAAAACAUCAAGUAUAGACAUUCCACACGAGCAAUAGGAACUUCAAAGCACACAUGCAAGACAGAACCACUUGAAGGACUAGAAGAGAUCUUGGCAGAAGCUUCUAACUUGUCCAUGAGUAAUACAGCAACAGGUGGAGGUGAAACUAUAAAAAUAUCUCCUCUGCUUUGUUUUCAAAAAAAGGAACAACACAGUUUUACGAUCUGAGAAGAGCUCGCUUUACAACCUCCUGGAUAAAACCAUUAGCAUUGGUUUGUCUCUUCUCAAAACACAGAAGAGAAAAAAAAUCAAUGCUCAUUUUAAAUAGCAAAUGUUGAAGUCAUUUAGCUUUUUCAAACCUUAUGACAAGUAAUAUAAAGUAUAAAAUGGAAAAGCUAAGUAGCUCUGGUAAAACUUUAAUUUAAUUUUUUGUAACUAAAUUUAUUACACCUUUGCAAGGGUCAUUCACGUGGAUUUGUUUGAUAUUACUAACAUUCAGCCUCAUUCUGUGGUUAUGUUUUGGAUUUUCUCCCUAUUACCAGCUACAUGUGGGAUUUAAAUUUCUCAGUGGUACAAGGAUGGUGAAAGAUAUCUUAUUUAAUACCACUCUGCAAGAGGACGAGCAGCUGCUUAAUGGCUAUGCAGUGAAAUCCUACAUCUCCCAGGGGUGGGGAAGAUGGGUUCCAUUACAGCUCUGUUUUGGGUACUGCAGAGGGAGCACAGAAGGCAUGUCAGAUGAAGAUGGGAAGUGAGGAAAUGUGGACUUCUGCCCAGUCCAGUUCUGAUGACAAAGUUACGGUCAUGAAAGCCCUGAGGCUGUCAGCAUUGACAUAGUGGAUUUACAGAGCAGGAGCUCUGGUGGGCUACAGAACUAAGUUUUUCUCUGUAUCAUGAAAAUUUACUUUCAUAAAGCCCCUAUUUUUGCAUUGUGUCCAUGUGGUUCAAUUACACAACUCUAACAGGUUUGAUCACUUAGUUUUGCUUGGCAUAUGCCAUGGUUUAACCCCAGUCAGCAAGUUCCACAUAGUUGUUUGCUCAGUGCCCCGACCUCAACUGGGAGUAGAAUCUGAACAAAAAAGUAAACCUCAUGGAUUAAGAUCAGAACAAUUUAAUGAUUAAAAUAAAAUGCCUUGAUAC